rnacentral:rRNA from 1 species
UACGGAGGGUGCAAGCGUUGUUCGGAUUUAUUGGGCGUAAAGGGCGUGCAGGCGGUCUCGCAAGUCCGAUGUGAAAGCCCCGGGCUCAACCCGGGAAGUGCAUCGGAAACCGCGAGACUUGAGUACGGGAGAGGGUCGCGGAAUUCCCGGUGUAGAGGUGAAAUUCGUAGAUAUCGGGAGGAACACCAGUGGCGAAAGGCGGCGACCUGGGCCAAUACUGGACGCUGAGGUGCGAAAGCGUGGGGAGCAAACAGGG